AAAGACUUAGAAGGAGAAUUUGAAGUUGUUCCAGAUUAUGCUCCCAUCUGCGAAUUCAACGAACCGUCACGUCCCAUUAAAUUCCGCCAUUGAUCCAUCUACACUUCCAGUGCCAAACCGCAAACCUCUACGGACUCAAUUCAAUCUUUGUUUGACCUCAGAUGUUUGGUGGAUGUUGAUGCUGGUUCUUCACUUCAGAUAGCUUUCCGUUCCGAAGCAACCAUGGGCCGUUUCGCGGCUAGUUCAGGUGAAUCACUAGUUUCUGUAGAUGGUCUUUCGGCAUUUUUCGUUCUUCUUUUUUUAGCCGA